rnacentral:rRNA from 1 species
GACGAACGCUGGCGGCGUGCUUAACACAUGCAAGUCGAACGGAAAGGCCCUGCUUUUGUGGGGUGCUCGAGUGGCGAACGGGUGAGUAACACGUGAGUAACCUGCCCUUUACUUUGGGAUAACUUCAGGAAACUGGGGCUAAUACCGGAUAGGAGCUCCUGCUGCAUGGUUGGGGUUGGAAAGUUUCGGCGGUUGGGGAUGGACUCGCGGCUUAUCAGCUUGUUGGUGGGGUAGUGGCUUACCAAGGCUUUGACGGGUAGCCGGCCUGAGAGGGUGACCGGCCACAUUGGGACUGAGAUACGGCCCAGACUCCUACGGGAGGCAGCAGUGGGGAAUAUUGCACAAUGGGCGGAAGCCUGAUGCAGCAACGCCGCGUGCGGGAUGACGGCCUUCGGGUUGUAAACCGAUUUCGCCUGUGACGAAGCGUGAGUGACGGUAAUGGGUAAAGAAGCACCGGCUAACUACGUG